rnacentral:tRNA from 1 species
GCUCCGAUGGUGAAAUUGGUAGACACUGGAGACUUAAAAUCUCCCGCUUGCAAGAGCGUGCCGGUUCGACCCCGGCUCGGAGCACCA